GCCUGGGUGGCUCAGUUGGUUGAGCAUCUGACUCAGCUCAGGUCAUGAUAUUGCAGUUCGUGGGUUCGAGCCCCACAUCAGGCU
rnacentral:tRNA from 1 species